rnacentral:lncRNA from 1 species
AUCAAUCCUUAAUUCCUUGUUGGUUAUAAUAAUAAUCCGCUCUCAACUGCUAAUAAAAAACUGAGCAUUGAUUCUAACCCUUACAGUUGGUUUUUGAUACGGUACUAAUAUAAGUACCAGUACGAAGACUAACACGGAUCGGAUGACGGCAAUGAUAUGAUCUGCUUGCAGCUGCGGGUGUCGAGCCUUGUGAGCAACGCGCCCUACUUGCUGGUGCUCGACUGCGACAUGUCCUGCAACAGCCGCUCCUCCGCCCUGGAGGCCAUGUGCUUCCAUCUCGACCGAUCCCCGCCGGCGCCGGAGAGCCUCGCCUUCGUGCAGUUCCCGCAGAUGUUCCACAACCUCAGCCCCAACGACAUCUACACCAAUGACCUCCGAUCCUUCUUCGCGGUAAUGUAUCAGACUCACUCGUAUGUUGAGUUGUUGACAUGGCCAGCUCUCAGCUGACAAGCGAUGAUCAAUUGCAUGCGUCCGGCAGACUCGAUGGAUCGGCCAGGACGGCCUCCGGGGCCCGCUCCUCGUUGGCACCGGCUUCUACGUCAGGAGGGACGCACUGUACGGGGCCAUGCCGUCCGCCGCCACCUCGUUGCCGGCGCACGGUGCAGAGUUCUCGUCCAUGGAGGCCGGCGAGCUGGUGAGGAGGUUCGGCCACUCCGACGACCUCAUAUCCUCCGUGCGCAACCUCCACCUGCAGAAACCACCUGCGACUGGUCUCCAACGUCGUCGUCUUCCUCGAGACGCGGCGCUGGUGGCCUCCUGCGCGUACGAGACCGGCACCGGGUGGGGCGACGAGGUGGGGUUCAUGUACCAGUCGGUGGUGGAGGACUACUUCACCGGCUACCGCCGCUUCUUAUCCCGGGGCUGGACGUCGGCCUACUGCUACCCGGCGCCCUCGUCCCGGCCGCCGUUCCUCGGCACCAUGCCCACCAACCUCAAGGACGUGCUGGUCCAGAACAAGCGCUGGAUGUCUGGCUUUCUCGCCGUUGGCCUCUCUAGGCGCUACUGCCCGCUCGCCUGCCGGGGGCUCCUCGCCGUCUCCGUGCCGCAGGCCAUGACCGUCGCCUACUUCGGCUUCCUUUCGCUCUACGCGUUCCCAGCGCUGUGCUACGCCACCCUGCCGCAGCUCUGCUUCCUCCGCGGCGUCCCUCUGUUCCCGGACGCCGCCGCCGCCCCGUGGUUCGCCGCCGCCUUCGCAUCCUCCUUGGUGCAGCACCUGGUCGAGGUGUCGGUGGCGAGGCGCGGGCUGGCGGUGCGGACGUGGUGGAACGAGCAGAGGUUCUGGAUGCUCAACGCCGUCACCGCCCAGCUGUUCGGCUGCGUCAGCGCCGUCCAGGACCUCGUCGGCGCCGCCGCGCUGCGCUUCGACCUCACCAGCAAGGCCGACGACGAUGAUGGCGGCAGGCUGUACCAGAAGGGCGUGUUCGACUUCACGGGGUGCUCCACGCUGCUGCUCCCGGCCACCACCCUCUGCGCCCUCAACGCCGCGGCGCUGGUCGGGGGCACCUGGAAAAUGAUGACCGGAGGCGGCGGCGGCGGCUUGUCCGGCGAGAUGUUGCCGCAGCUGUUUCUCCUGAGCUACGUGGCGGCGCUGAGCUACCCGCUGCUGGAGGGGAUGUUCCUCCGGAUGGACUCCGCAAGGGUUCCAGGGCGCAUCACCGCACUCUCAGUCGCCUUGGCCGCGGUGCUGCUCUCCCUGUUUGGAUAGGGACGGCACCCCCUCGUCUGCCAUUAUAUUCGUCAAGACGAUGGAGUGCAAAAAGCUAGAAGUACAUGGACAUGGCGAACCGUACAAGCUAUGGCCUCGUUCACGUAGCUGUGUAAUGCAAACUCGAGUGUUGUUGAGUCUGCUGGCACUCUGAGUGCCAUCAGGCACGGAAACACUAGAUUUGAGUCGGACAUGCAGAUCGAGUGCUUGUACGCUCAAAACUAUUGAAAUCCUUAACAAAAAGUACUUCUCAUCCUAAGCUGCUUGACCUAAUUGUUUCAAUGGAGUUGACCCUAAACCCUUGUCCCCGGCUAGCUUCGCCCCUGCUGCUAACAGGUGUCAGAGCUAAGCCAUUGCUAUACCUAAUAAAAACUGCCACAAUACAUGAAAACAAGAAAAAAAAAUAGAUAAAUCUAUAUGGAUUAGUAUUUUAGAUUAUGAUCUAAAUUUCUCUUUCCUUGACAUACACUACGGGAAACCUCAAAGUCGCCAAGUGUAAUUGCUUCGCCGAGUGUAUUAUUGUGGGCACUCGGCGAAGGACCCGUUUGCCGAGUGCAAUCCUAGAAAUACUCGGCAAAAAUAAUACACUCGGCGAAAACACGAUUUGCCGAGUGCCACCAAAAAAACACUCGGCAAACACCCACGGGGCACUCGGCAAAGAUGGGGCACUCGGCAAAGUCUUGAGCACGUGACUUCCACGUGCCGCGCUGUACCGUUGCCGUGACGGACGUUAGGCUUUGCCGAGUGUCGACGGGGGACACUCGGCAAAAUCCAUGUUUGCCGAGUGUCUCGAUGGGGCACUCGACAAAGAUGCUAGUUUGCCGAGUGUCCCUUGUGGCACUCGGCAAACCUGGGGGGGUUGCCGAGUGUUUUUUGGCACACUCGGCAAAAAAAAAAAACCUCCUCCGCCCUCCAAACUUUUUAUACUCCACAUGUAUGAGAUUUGGCACUGCAUGGUACAAGGUGGACUUCUUAUUGACCUGUUUGCUAUAUUUAAUCAAUUAAUUUCAUUUAGAGUAAUUUGUUGAUUUAAGUCAAAUUUGAACUGCAGAUGUUUGGAAUAAUAGAAUAAUAUGAGUGGAAAAAUCAUAUUCAUGUUAGUGAGUCCAAAUUGAGGUCUUACCCAGAAAAUGAAAAGAAAUUUCGAAAUUUUGUUAAGGAAACACGACUACGAACGUGUGGCCAAAUGAUUGUUUAAUUCUCAAAAAUACAAACGAAAUUUGAAAAUCACGAGAUUUUGCAAGAUGCUAUGAUUUCAUAUGUUGUGGUAAAAAAUUGACAAGGUUUCGCACAAGUUUUGACAAAAAUAGAUAAAUCUAUAUGGAUUAGUAUUUUAGAUUAUGAUCUAAAUUUCUCUUUCCUUGACAUAAUAUAGAUAUACCAAUCAAAGAGUGGAUUGCUAUAUUCUCCUCUCCACGUGGGAGAGCCCAACUGCCAGCAUGCGGAUGUUUCCGUGCUGUCCCGUUGCCGUGCUCUCCCCAAACCAGGGGCGGAUCUGCGUGUAGGGCCUGUAGGGCCGUGGCCCUAGUCUUGAGCGUUGUAGCAAGGUAUAGUCCCAUCCUUGUUCCUACAGUGCAGGCCAGCAUACCUACUAGUCUGCGUGCCAUCUCUUGAUCCUGUAUGCCUCUGUCCUUCUCUCUUUUUUGCGUUUUUCUUCUCUGCAGCAGCAUGCCCGCAAGAAACACAACAACACGUCACAAGUCUAUCCUGCAUUACCCGGCCAUCAAACUCUGACCUCUUCGCUCAUUCCUUCGUAGAUCCUCCAUCAUCCAUCUUAAUUGGGAUCAUACUCUGGCUCGUGGCUCCGAGCUUGCGCCAUUGCUAGGCCACUGCGUUCACGCCGUCUGCCACCUUGUGGCCUUGCCAAAGCGUCUUUGGUUGUCAACUGACACGGCAAGCAGAGCAGCGACCAGCGAGCAUGAGCACGUACGUAUCUCCGUAGACCAGUGCUAGCGUGCCCAGCUUACCUUGUGGCCAUUGUGCUUUCCUUCAUCUUGUCAUGUAGGACCUAGGACGCAGCAUCGAAGUUCCCCAUGCAGCUGUGUAGCAAACACUAGUAAAGGCAAAGUAACCUAACAAUUAGUUGAUUAUAUCCAGUUUCUUCGUUGCAAAAAAAGAAUAUAUCCAGUUUCGGUUUAAGUGUAAACCAUUGCACAAUAGACUCAAUGAAGCAAUUUAUUGGGGCCACACAUGAAUUUUAGGGCAGCACAACGGAGUGCUAGAAUCGACUAAUAAUUAUGUUAUUUGUGUAUAUUUUGAGAAAAUAGUAUGCUAUGAUAGUCAAUUUUGAAGACAACUUAGAUUUUACGGUAGUAUAUUAUAUUUUACUAUCAUAAUUUUCGCAUAUAUAUUGUUGUGUCAUGAGCCUUACAGCUUGGCCCUAGUCUUGGUGAAAACCUAGGUCCACCACUGCCCCCAACCAUGCCACCUCCAACCAUCGGACCACGCUGCCGACCUCACCGCCACCUGCCCUCAACUCUCUACCUCCUUGACCACUGCCACCGGCCCUAGCUGCCCUCCUAUGCUCCAACGUGCGCUGUCCCACUUUGCUGCCAUGCAGACUGUGCCCCCCUCCCCCCCCCCCCGCGCUAUACGCCAUCCCACCCCGCUGUGCGGCGACGCGCCCCCUGGCUACCUCGGUACCACCUCGAAGCAGCACCCGCAUUGCCUGGCCAUCAUGCAUCGCACUCCCUUGAGCGGCCUUGCACUCAUCCCACCACCACGCCAUCUCCGGCCAACAAACCUUGCCUCCGAGCUCAUCGCCGCCUACCUUCACCCUUCCACCUUGUUGGCGCUAAAAGUCUGCCGAUUGACCCUUAGCGUCGGAGACACGAUCCGGGAGAAUCUGCUUAGCUCCUGUUCGGGUGAUCGCCCUGGUGCGGUUCGCGCGGCGUGCCAGUCAAUCUGACCUGUUCAUUGGCAAGGAAGAAAACGUGUCAAAUUCCAAGGGUUCCGAUCGGCUAAGGUUCCAAUCUCGAAAAGCGUAUCAGCAAAUCGGCCGAUUUGCUAUAUAAAGAUAAUCGGCUAUGAUACAGCCGACAAUCACGUAGCGAUUGCGAAGAAAACUACUAGAGUAAACUAGACAAAGCUACAAAAGCAACACUUGAAAUAGAUCUAAUCGGCUAUACGAUAAUGAUGAAUAAAAAGUAACAAAAAUAGAGCCAAUAGUUCAAAUCUCAAGUUUGAUAACUGGUGAUAAAACUAGAACAAUAGAUAAAACCUAUAAUUCUAGUAAAUAUCGAUAACUGGUGAAUAAAUCUAAACGAAAUAACAGUGAUGCGCCCGAAGUUAAAGCUUAGAUAUUACUCGAUAAACGGAACUUACAGAAUUGGCCGGAGAUCGUGUCGAUGCAGCCCUACCAACCCGUACGAACUCGUGAAAGAAGAAAAGUAUUGGCGAAGUCGACCGACUUGAAAGUAAAGUACGAUGAAAAAGUAGAUUUGUUUGUUUGAUUGAUGUGUUCUUUACAAAUCUCUGAGAAUAGCUAUUUAUAGCCUGUUACAACCAAUUUCCUAACCGACUAGGAUCUAUCUCUAAUCUUAAACGAAAACGAAUAUUUACAAACACAACUCGUAUCGAAGUUGGUUAUUAUACUCCCGCGGGCCAAUCUUUCUCUAUCUUCUUUCUCUGAUCCACUUUAAACCCAUAUUGGCCCAAUCGCUUCAGCCUUCCAGUCGGCCGAUCUCCACCAACUCUGUCUGCCAAAACACUGUAGCGCCAAAUCGGCCAAUCCCCAACUGUAGCACCAAUCAGCCGAUUCCUAGUCGUGGCCUUUUAAUCUGCCGCGUCGGCCAAUUCUUUCUUCCCUUGUUGCUGAUUCCAUAUGUGUCAAAAUCUGGCAUCAACACAUGUCCCCCAGUUUCAGAGUAAAACAUAACUUUUACUUCGAAAUUCUUUUUUAACUUCUCCUUCGAAACAAACGCGCCAAAAAUCUCCUUCCAUUUUGCGGUCUCCUACCUGAUGAUUGCAAUCUUUUCGAAACGGGCGCCUGAGACAACCACUCCCCCAAAAUUCGUGUAGACGGCGUGGUAAAAAUCCUGCCUUUACCCCUUCUCUCAAACCGUCUUUAAAUACUGGCAUGCCCUGCACUUCUUCUUCACAAGCCAGUAACUUCCUUUCCGGCGCAUUAGUUUCCAUCUUCUUCCGGUGCCUUUUUGGCUUCCAACCGCAUCCUCCGGCGAUCCCCCUUUAAUCCGCAUUCCGCUCCAUCUUCCCAAUGGCGGCACCAUCAGCAACUCCACCAGCAACGGAGGCUCCGCCGGCAGCUCCAUCAACGGUGGUAGCAGCUCCAUCGACGACGGAGGCUCCACCGGCAGCUUCAUCAGUGGCGACAGCUCCACCAGCAGCCCCGUCGGCAACGAUGACCUUCAUUCCAGAGGUACUCAUCCUGAACUUUUCUUUUUACUUUUACCUUCCAUGCAUCUUUUUAGAUCCGUUCUUAGUUCUUCCCUUUUUUUCCUUUUUAGGCAAUCAGACACCAAAUAACCAUCCAUCUUUCCGAAGCUCCUGAUCUGAUCUGUUUAGGAACUAUGGGGAACCCAGACCCAACCGACCUGAUCAACUUGGAAACCCAUAGGAUUCCGUUUAAGCCGUCGCCUAUGAACUUGGAUCAUUGGUCAGGCGCUUUUAGAUCUUGGCCGAAUGAAACUCCCGGUUAGAAAGAGUGGUACCAAAGAAUAGCCAACUCCAAGAGAGUUCAAUGGGAUGAGCAAAAAAUCGACCCGUGCAUCAAUCUUUCUGUGUCCCAAAUGGAAAGAAAUGAACCCUUGGUCAUAGCAGCCUCCUACUUCUGGUCCGACGCUCUCAACGUGUUCCUUUUCGGACAUGGGUCCAUGACCCCCACUCUGGCCGAUGUUGUGAUGUUGACCGGCCUUGACAUUUCUUCCCCCGAUACUCCCUUCCAUUAUCUGGUCAAGCCGACCCAUGGGCUGGAAACAAAAGGAAUCGGCAGAUGGAAGGGGUACAUCAAGAACAAUACGAAGACCGGGACAGUUUCAGAGAGAGAAUACACGGCCUUCUUGAUGAUGUGGCUAGAGAAACAUCUUUUCUGCGGUAGAGCAAUUGGCCCUUCUUCCAAUACACAAGCUCUAGCCGAAGCAUUAUCAAGAGGAGCCUCUGUCCCUCUCGGGAAGCAUCUACUAGGAUCGGCCUAUCAUAUGUUGCACCAAAUCAGCGUCAAACUAUCCAAGGGGGAGCCGAUUGGAAAUCCAGGUGCCCCUGAUGGUUCAUCAAUCUCUGGCUCAAUUUGUAUAUAAGCAAGAUCUCACAGCAGCGGGUAGAGCACAUGACAUUCCCCAAUAUUGAGUCAGAAGAAAACCCCACUGUACAGCACCGAUGCACCUCCUUCGGCGAAGCAGCGUCAAUCUUCUCUGGUUGCCAACUCACCGCCACUAAAGUAGCUGAAUACUUCCGAUGUUUUUACAACGGCUUUAGUGAGGAAACCACCAGCUAGUACCCAUACCAGAGAUCAGAGCCGCUUUUUGAGCUCCCCUUUUGUUAUGACUCGACGUCCAACACCUUUGACAAUGAUCUCAUGGACGUCUUGAUCAAGCCAGGGAUCUUACCUGCGAACUUUUUCUCAGGGAAGGAUGCCCCUACUUAUGAGUUUUACGAUCCAUCAGUUGUGGCACGGCAAUUCGGCUUAGGUCAACUGCCAAUUCAAGUCUACUUCAUUGGCCGUGUGAAAUUCUGAGACGAGCUCACGAAGGGUCUUGACUACAGUCGGCUGUGAGAUCGGGUACCCGAUUCCAGCACCAUUGAUUUGAAUAACUGGAUAGUAGCUCCUUUUGCUGUCCAACCAUUCAAAUUAUGGUGGGCAGAAUGGAAGCAACAUCUAUUUUGUGCGUCUCCCAUGACAUAUUGCAAUGAUCUGGAUCCUGAGAACAUCGACCCAAAUGCAGCGGUACUGCUUUUCCCUCAGCCGAUUUCGAUGUCAUUUUCCUUCUUAUGCUACAAAUUUUGUCGCUAACUCUUACUUUCUUUUGCAAUCCGAGAGUCGACGUCCUCCAAAGCACAGCCAGAGUGGUAGGCCAACAGAGAAUCGCUACCCAUAUACGGAAUUCCCACUCAUCGGCCAUCAUGCCCCAACCAUUGAUGACAUCACCACCGGCCGAUUGAAACAGACACCAAAGAAAACUUUAAAGAAGACGAGCCGCCGAGUGCGUGCCCGCAUGGAAUCGGCCGAUCAGUCGGCAGUGGCAUCGGCUGAAUCUUUGGCUGCGCCGAUUCUUCCGAUCAUCGAAGAAGUUGACCCCCAAGCUGCUACAGAAGCUAGAGCGGCCGCUGCAUCAUUGCUAUUAGAAGCUGUCCAGGUAACCUCGCACUCAUGCCUUUCUAAGUAUCAUUCCGACAUUGUCGUUGUCAAGAUUAGCGGAUCAAGACUUAGACUAGUAAAUUUCUUUUAUGCACGUAAGGCUUCAGAUGGUGGAGUGGGAGACAUUGGGUUUAGACUGGUUCGGGCAAGGAAGAGCCCUACGUCCAGUAUCGGGAGCUACUCGUGUUGCCCACGCGGGGUCUGUAGUAGGGGUUACAGGAGGGCGAGAGAGGGAGCUGAUCCCAGGUCUCUUGGGUGUGCACUGAUGCUCUAAGGAAAGUACGAGUGUCUUCUGUGGCUUCCGAGAGUGUCCCCGGUCUUAGGGCCCCUGGUUCUCUUUUUAUAGCGCAAGGAGGUCACCGGGGUUACAGGUGAGACCGGGUGUGAGGAGAAGUAGAAGAGAUAAACUAAGCUAAGUAAAAUACAACAUAAGGAGAGGGACCAAAUUCCAGGGCCGCUGCCCCUCGCUCUGGCCUCUGGCUCCUAUCAGCACAUCCGUCGGAAGAGGGCGGCCACCUUUGGAUCCUGUCGACAGUCUCCCUGGUGGCUGUUGCCGCCAGGCAUGAUGAUGAUGUUUGGUUGUGGCGUCUGUGCCUGUCGGGGAGGGCGGCUGGUCCUGUUAUCUUGCUGAUGGCCCGUGGGAUGCGGACGUCACAUCCCUGUCGCCAAAUGCCCGGGGCGCGAGAACGGGCGGGACUUCCUCUUUUGCUGGGCAGCGCAGGCCAUGAGUGCCCUGUAGCGAAUCGGAGGGAGCCGCGGCCACUGUAGCCUGCACCGCACGGUCACGCGUGGGUACUUGUGGUGGGUCGUGUCGGGGGCGCGAGCGCCUUUCUACGCGUCAGAGCCACGGCGCAUUUAUGGUGAGGUCGACAGGGAGACCCACGAGAUCCACGCCCUGAUCUUCUAGUCUGCGCCCGAGGCGGAUAUUUGUCUUGCGGGCCCGAAGGAGUCCGACCCCCUGCGCCCUGGGUCGGGCGAGGCGGAGUCUUGCGGCGGGGGGUCGGGUGCUCCCGACCCUAGGCCCCUGGGUCGGGCGAGGCGGAGUUUGGUCGUCAUGGGGUCGGGAGCAUCUGACCCCAGAGCACUGGGUCGGGCGAGGCGGAGCGGGGCUCUCCCCUCCCGUGUUGGGCCGACGACAGUCUUUAUUACCUUAGGUGGACCUGGGCCUUUAUGAUUGUUGUUUUCAUGGGCUUUGGGAGGUCGUUAAUAUUUCCCCCCAACAAAUAUUAACUUCUUUCUAUUAGGCUGCACAAAUCACCCUAGGGCAACCUCCGCAGCAAUCGGCCACACCCCAAGUAGAAAUUGGAGCGCCAGUAAUUCCUCCCACCAAGGUAAAGAAUCCCUUAACUCAAUUUUUUGAUACUUAAUCAAAAUCUUGACCAUUUCUGAUGCAGGCUACCCUUGGUACAUCAAUUGUACCUUUCCAACAGCCAUCAGCCAAGGAACCCACGGAGGUACGGCAAUCACCACAUGUCAUCAGACCUAAUCAUUUGUAUUAUACUCAUAAGAAUUUCCCCUCAUACCUUUCCAGGAGGCCGGUCCGAGCAGGGCACCAAUAAUCGUUGAAUCCUCCUCCUCUGAUAAGCUGGUCGCACCAGUUCCUGAACCGAGGGCAGCACUCCCACCGGCGCAAGCAGAAGAAAUCCACUUCAAAGAGGUAAGAGACUCAUCACCCAAAUCGGCCGAUUUCCUAUUGUCGUCGGCUAAUCUGUAUUUAUUAUUUUUUACUCUUUCACAGGAACAAGAUACUCCCAACAACAACCUUUUCUCUUUCGUGGUCGCCCUUUCUGAUGAUGAGGAGGUUGCUUCACGUCAAGUCACUCUGAGCUCAAUCCCCGAUGACGUCCGCGCCAAUCUCAAGAGCAUACGGACCCUCCUCCAAGAUGAUAUCGGCCGAUUGGUGGAGGACGCCUUGCCGAUUCGACAGCUCUUCAGCGAUAUCAGAGGCCGAGUCCCAGAAGAGGCGGAGGAAGCUCUGGCGCCAGCCGCAUACAUUAAAUCAAUGCGGAUCCCAGUGUUCAGAGCUUUGUGCCACAUGGCCGAUCGCACCAAGCUGGCUAAAGCUUGCGAGUAAGAAGAUUCCUACAAACAUCGAGCCCAAGAGGUACAUCAUCGAAUCAACAUUCUCGAAAGCUCCCGCCCGGAUAUUGUUGGUGCUAUAGAUUGCCUUAAAUGCCGAAGGGCAGAGCUUGCCAAGAAGAUGGAGCAGGUGACCAAGGACAUAGCCAUUGAAGAGAAAAGACUCCAAGACCUCCCUUCUGUCAUCGCUGAGCUGAAGCAGGAGAGACAAAGUCUGGCCCAUGAAGCAAUCAAGCUCCAUCACCACACGCCAGAAGUCCCAGGAUUGGCCAACGAUGACCAGCGAACUUUAGACUCGGCCGAUCAGGUUAGGCAGCGAGCGAUUGCGGCUAUUAAUGCCCUCCUUGGAUGAACUGUAAGAGUACUGGCCGCUCUGUAAAAACAUUAAUGUCUUUUGACCGUUUGACAUGUGAAUCCAAUCCUGACCCGUCCUUCAUGGUGGCCUUUCAUUUAUUACCACUUUUACUCUGAUGGGACGCAUCCUACAAAACUCUCGCCCCUUAUCCUUCUAUAAGUAUGAAGCCCCGUAUUGUUUCCAAAGGCAUUCGCAUUGCUUGUCCUCUUUUCCUCUAGUAGUUCAUACCAUCGGACUAUUCACCGAGAUGUCUUCUUUGUCUUCCUCCUUCUCUUCCUUUUCCGUCAACCAGGUACGAAAUCUUCUUCCGUCCUCCGUUCCCCCAUCUAACAUCUUGAUCGAUCUAACGUCGAGCGGUUAUUUGUUGAUUCCUAGCCGAGACGCCUUAGUCCUGAACUAGAACGGGUGAUCGAAAUCAUGCACUCCGAUGAACUGCUGUCACAGGUGGACAAAGAUCUGAUCAGAGCUCAUCGUGAAGAACUCAGGGAUCACAUUCCUGCUAAAGUUCAGAAGAUCUGGGAUCACAUCGAUGCCAACUGCUCCAGGCAGCUGCCAGUCGAAAGGAGUCAUCCACUUCCUCGCCCAGUCACCCUCGAAGACGCUGUAGCGGGAAUGUCUCAACCGCCACUGGACCAAAACCACCCCCUUCCUCGUCAAGUUGAGGCCGAAGUCGCGAUGAAGGACUUGGAGGAAAAGAGCAUCCGCCUCUUGAUAGAAUUAGGUCAGGUAGAGAGGGAGAUUAAGAAAAAGCAUGGUCAAUAGAUGCGUUGGUACUUUUUGUUCUAAGGGCGACUUGUACCGUGUCAGCCAUGUACCCCAUCAUUUGUAUCGAAUAAUAAAUCGGUCAGAUCAGACGAAUGUUUCAUUCUUAAGGUGAUGUUAUCUUUGCAUCGGCUAUAAGAUCUAAUAGGAGUUGGCCGUGCCAUCUCGAUACACUCCACCAUUAGUUAUGCAUCGACCCAUAUACUAGGAUAGUACCUCUUCAGAUAUCUUCCAUUCAAGGCCCUUGUGAACUCCUCUCCUUCGAUCGUUUCCAGUAUAUAUGCGUUUCCCGGGGCGCAUCGGCCGAUUUUAUACGGCCCUUCCCAAGUGGGCGACCAUUUACCGAACUUGGGAUCCUUGGACCCUAUCGCUAGUACCAACUUCCAUACCAAAUGUCUUUGGGAGAAUUGCUUGACCUUGACCUUCUUGUCGUACCACCUGGCCACCCUCUUCUUGUUCUCCUCAAUGCUGAUUAGGGCCCUCAGUCGUUGACCUACCAAAUCGUCGAGCUCCCCUUUCAUGAGGAGGGAAUAGUCAUCGGCUGUCACCUGAUCUUGAAGCGAUGUGCGUCUUGACCCUGUCCUUAAUUCCCAAGGCAAUACCGCCUCGUGACCAUAUACCAAUUGAUAAGGAGAUAUUUUAGUGGCCCCGUGGCAGGCCAUCCUGUAAGCCUAUAAAGCCUCGGUCAAACAUAAGUGCCACUUUUUAGGUUGUUCCUCAAUCUUCCUUUUGAUCAACUUGAUUAUCCCCUUAUUGGACGAUUCGGCUUGGCCGUUAGCUUGAGCAUAAUACGGAGAAGAAUUCAACAACUUGAUUCCCAUAUCGGCAAUGAACUCCUCAAACUCUCCUGAAGUGAACAUCGUCCCUUGAUCAGUUGUGAUGCUUUGAGGGAUACCGAAAUGAUAAACAAUGUGGUCCCUUACGAAAUCGACCAUAGCGGCCGAUGUUACGGCUUCAAUGGGGUAGCCUCCACCCACUUGGUGAAAUAAUCGGUGGCUACUAAUAUGAACUUGUGUCCCUUGCUUGAUGGAGGAUAAAUUUGUCCAAUGAGGUCUAUUCCCCAACCCCUGAAUGACCAUGGCUUGAUUAUCGGAUUCAUAGCUGAUGCUAGCGCACGUUGCACGUCGCCAAACUUCUGACAGUCUUGACACCCUUUAUAAUAUUUAAAGCAGUCUUCGAGUAUCGUCGGCCAAUAAUAUCUGCUAUUCCUAAUCAUCCACUUCAUUUUAUGAGCCGAUUGGUGAGCUCCGCACACGCCUUCGUGAAUUUCUCCUAUCAGGAUCUUUGCUUCUUUCGUCCCCAGGCAUUUGAGCAGAACUCCGACAAUCGUUCGGUAAAACAAAUCAUCUCCGAGUGGUACAUACUUUGUGGCCUGAAAACGCACUCGCCGAUCCACUUUCUUGGAUGGAUCCUUUAAGUAAUCGGUGAUCUCCUUUCGCCAAUCAUCGGCCGCAAGUUCCAAAGUCAUGGCACCUUGAAUCGGCCGAUAUCCGGACGCGUGUUGGGCAAGCCUAUUGGCCUCUUCAUUAUAGUUUCUGGGAAUAUGCUCAAUAACCGUGGACUUGAAUUCCUUUAAAAGUUGGAGGCCAUCCUCAUAGUAAAUUCUCAGGACAUCAUCUUUGCAUUCAGAUCUUCCCGUCAAUUGGUCUACGAUGAGCAUGGAAUCCCCAAAAAUCUCCACAGCAUCGGCUUUGAUCUCUCUCAAUAAUUGAAUGCCCUUUAGGAUGGCUCGGUAUUCUGCUUGAUUAUUGGUUGCGGAUGCUUCUAUCGGUAGAGAGAAAUCAUAACUUGCCCCUCGAGGCGAUAUGAGGACGAUGCUGAUUCCUGACCCAACCCUACACAAAGAACCAUCGAAGUAUAGAGUCCAUGGAACUGGUUCAACGACAGCGACUUCUGGUCCACAAUGCUGGGAUACGAAGUCGGCCAUGACUUGACCCUUGACAGCUUUGGCCGAUUCGUACCUCAGGUCAAACUCUGACAGAGCUAGGAUCCACAUCCCAAUCUGCCCUUUCAAAAUCGGUAGCAAUAGCAUGUAUUUCACUAUGUCAUCCUUGCAUAUGACUAUGCACUCUGCCAAUAACAGGUAGUGCCUGAGCUUGGUGCAUGAGAAAUAAAGACAUAGGCACAACCGCUCUACCGGGGAAUAUAUUGUCUCGGCGUCCAGAAGUCUUCUGCUAACAUAAUAUAUUACCCGUUCCUUUCCUUCGAACUCCUGUACUAGCGCCGAUCUGAUAGCAUGUUCAUCGGCCGAUAAGUAUAGUUUGAACGGUUUGUUAGCUUGCGGCGGGACUAAUACAGGUGGCGAAAUCAGAUAUUGCUUGAUGUCUUCCAGCGCUUUUCGCUGUUCUUCUCCCCAUACGAAUUCUUGGUCAGGCUUCAAUUUCAAUAAUGGCGUGAAGGCUUGAAUACGCCCGGACAAGUUGGAUAUGAAUCGUCUGAUAAAGUUGACUUUGCCGAUUUGGAACUGUAACUCAGUUUUGUUCUGUGGGGCCACGACCUUAUUGAUGGCCGCUAUGAUUUUUCGGUUGACUUCUAUCCCGCGCUCUUGAACCAUGAAUCCCAGAAAUUGCCCGGCCGAUACACUGAAUGCACAUUUGUUCGGGUUCAUUUUCAAUCCAUGCUUCCUUGUGCACUCCAAUACUUCUCGCAGAUCGGCUAGAUGCUCUUGAUGCCCUUUUGAUUUGACCACGACAUCAUCAAUAUAGAUUUCCACCAGGGUGCCAAUGAGCUUGUGGAAGAUGUAAUUCAUAGCCUGUUGAUAUGUAGCACCGGCGUUCUUUAAUCCGAAGGUCAUUACUACCCACUCGAAUAAACCGAGGUGGCCCGGACACCUUAAAGCCGUUUUUGAAAUGUCUUCUUUGGCCAUUAAUAUCUGAUUGUACCUAGCAUUACUGUCCAUAAAACUAAUGACUUUAUGUCCUGCGGCGGCAUCUAUCAACACAUCGACUGUCGGUAUUGGAUACCCAUCCAUCGGCGUGGCCUGAUUAAGGUUCCUGAAGUUAAUGCAUACGCGCAGCUUUCCGUUUUUCUUGUAUACGGGUACAAUAUUAGAAAUCCACUCGGCGUAACGGCACUGCUAAAUAAAUUUUGCUUCAAUCAGUCUUGUAAUCUCAGCCUUUAUAUCAGGUAGAAUUUUAGGAUUGCAUCAUUGUGCGAGCUGCUGAUACGGCCGACAUCCUGGUUUUAUAAGCAACCGGUGUUCAAUAAUGGACCGGUCUAGACCAGGCAUCUCAUGGUAUUCUCAAGCAAAGCAAUCUUUGAAUUCUUUUAAUAAAUUUGUCAAUUUACACUUAUAUUCUGGAUCCAGGUUAGCACUAAUGUACGUCGGCCUUGGUUUGGUGCCAUCACCUAAAUCUAUCAUCUCUAAUGAAUUGGCCGACGUAAAACCAUGCCCCAGCUUCCCAUCCUCUCGGACGAACUGAUCCAUUUAAUCUAUAUCUUCAGAGCCGACUGCUCGGAUCGGUUGUAGGCUAAAAUCGAACACUCUCAGAAAAUCGGUGUCCCAAGUUCUUCCGGAUAUGCACUUGACGUGUUCGCAGCUCCACUGCUGCGUAUUGGCCGCAACAACACUGUAGGCAGAAUCGGCGGUGACUAUCUUGAUGUUGUCGCCGACCCAUUGUACGAGGCAUUGAUGCAUUGUAGACGGGACGCAGCAAUUUGCGUGUAUCCAAUCACGACCGAGCAACAUAUUGUAGGACCCUUUGCCGUUAAUAAUAAAGAAAGUAGUGGGAAGGGUCUUACUGCCGAUGGUGAGGUCGACGCAAAGCGCUCCGUGGGCGGGAGACACAUUGCCUUCGAAGUCCUUGAGCAUCAUGUCCGUCUGGGUUAGAUCUUCGUUGCUUUUACCCAGUUUCCGAAACAUGGCGUAUGGCAUGAUGUUGACUGCAGCGCCUCCAUCUACUAGUAGCCUGGUGAUAGGUCGCGACCGUUGACAUGUCCUUUGAGGAACAGUGCCUUGAGGUGUUGCCGUUUUUCAUCUUCAAGUUUCUCAAAAGUGUCUAUCAUUGGCUACAAAGCCAAUUGUGUCAUCUGCUCCUCCAUCUUCAUCGUGUCGUACCGAUCGGCGGGAGCCAUGAACUCCAUCGGCAAGAUGAACACCAUACUGACGUCAACUGCCGAUUCCUGGUUGCCAUCUUCCUCAUUGUUGUUUCUUUUGGGGUGCCAGACUCGAGACCUGUCAUCCUUCUUAUCUAUCAUUUGCCUCUGCUCUUCUUCCUGUUGUUCCCAUUGGCGCAGGAGUUGGAUCCUUCAUUUUUGGGAUUUGGUCAAUCCAUCAGGGCACCACCUGGGGUUCACUGGUUUGGCCGGCGGUCUGGCGCGCUCCCAGUCUGGUUCCCGUCCUAGGGGGUUUUCAUCUGACACUCUGGCGUCGGCCAUCUCCUCUAGCCAAUUGUGUGCGCUGACUCUGCCUCCCGGUCGGUCGUGCUAGUCAGAUCUGCCCCCGGCCGAUCAUACUGUUCACAUCUGCCCCUUGGUCGAUCAUACCGGUCAACUUUGCCCCCCAGCCGAUCACGCACUGAAAGGCGCCAAUCCUCUUGCUCACGCCAGUUUCUGCUGAUUGGCUCUGAUUCUCUAUCCCUGGAGCGGGACCUCUUGAACGGGCGAUUAUCGCGAUAUGGACCGCUGCACUCCGGGUAAUUAUCAGCCGAUGGCAACCUAAGGUUAUUUUCCUAGCAAUGGAUGAAGAACGGGCAUCGCCAAUGAUCCUCGUGUCACCGCAUUAUUUCUUCGCGAUAUCUCGAACUUUCCUGCUACCGCAGAUAUUUGUUGAGCAAGAAUUGGGAAGCAAUAGGUCUGUGCGGCCUUUUCGAUCCUUCACCCUCAUCGUCAACCCGUCUCUUCCCCUUGACAUCUUCCACAGUAGCCUGAUUUCUGGGGUCCACAGCCCCGCUUUUCUUGGUCGAUUCCGACGUCAGCAGUUUGGUUUGUAGCGCGUUCCUUCCCGUAUCAACCAUGUUAGUAGGGAAAGGAUGCUGAUGAAUCUUCAUUAGCUUCGCUGGCUUUGUCGGGACCUCGAACUUGAGCCUGCCUUGUUCGAUGGCCGAUUGUAUCUGCUGACAGAAGAUCUUGCAUUCGUUUGUGUCGUGGGACGUGGCAUUGUGCCAUUUGCAAUACUUCAUCUUUUUUAGCUGCUCGGCCGAUGGGAUUGUAUGAUAAGGUGAGAGUUUGAUCUGCCCCUCUUGGAGAAGUAGGUCGAAGAUUUUGUCGGCCUUUGACGUGUUAAAAUCGAACGCCUCCGGUUUCUUUUUCCCGAAAGGACACGAUAUCGGCUUCUUACCCUUAACUCAUUCUGCUAAACUGAUUUCUGCUUCUUCGUCAGAUUCAGAUCCCUCCAAGUACACCACCUUUUUCUAAAAAUUUCUCCGCUGAUCAAAAGGGCGUGCUUCCUGACCGGCCAAUCGAUGAACGAUCUGACUCAGGCUCUCGAACUCCUGGGAAGCGUACUUCUCUUUGAUGUGUGGCAGGAGAUCUUGGAAGGCGAUAUCGGCCAGCUGCGCAUCGGCCAGGACUAGGGUGUAGCAUUUGUUUCUGAUUAACCACUGCACAUAAUUGGUCACUGGCUCAUCGCUCCACAGCCUAAGGCUGGACAAAUCUGAGAGCUUCAUCUCGUGGAUUCCGAAAUAGAAGUAUUUGUGGAACUGUUUUUCCAGGUCGGCCCAGGUGACGAUGGAAUUGGGCGGCAACAUAGUGAACCACUGGAAAGCCAACCCGGACAGGGAUGAUGAGAACAGAUGCACCCGCAGAGCAUCUUGUGUAGCCGCCUCCCCGCAUUGGAUGAUGAAUCUAUUUACGUGUUCCACAGUUGAGGUGUCAUCCAGCCCUGAAAACUUAGUGAAGUCGGGAACUUUGUACCGAUGAGGAAAUGGCAGUAGAUCGUAGGCAGGUGGGUAUGGCAUUUUGUACGUGUAAGUUUGUAGCUUUGGCUUCAACCCGAAUUGAUCUUGAAUCACCUCCGCUAUCCUUGCCGUCUAGUCUACUUGCUACUGAUGAAUUACUGGCUGGGGAAUCGGCACAUGUUGGUGGAUCGGCGGCGGGAUGACCGGGUGAUGAAUCAAAGCGUGCGGCGGAUUCUGUGGCAACGUGGUUGGCUGAGCGGUUGGCAUUUGAUGGCACAACGAACCGGUCAUCUCAUCGUACAGUAUCAUCGGCGCCGCACCUCGGAGUGCCUCAGCAGCGUAUGCCCCCCUGCCGAUUUCUGACGUGGCCGGUUGAUACUAUGGACCCGUCGGCCGGGUGGCCAAUAGGAAUGGUGCCUGGAUCGGAGAGCCUCCAUAGCCGGCCGAUUGAUCUAGAACGGCCGCUAUCGACGGUGCCCCCCAAGGCACUGAGUUUGAUGGCAAUGAUUGCAGGGAGGGAACUUGAGCAGGCUGUGGUGGUGCUUGUGAUUGAAAGUAUGGCGCACCGUUGUAUCCUGGAUGCAUUGAAGACAGUGAAGUGUUGUGUCCUCAAUGCUGUAUCGGCAUCGGCUGAGGAGCCGAUUGCGACGUGCCCGGUAAGCUCUUGACUGGGGCUGCAAUGGGUGGGGCGGACGCCGGCCCCUGAUAUCCUUGAGACACGCUGUUGGCCAGGGAGCUGAUGACGGCAUUGUACACCGUGUUGGCCAUCACUGAGGAUUGAUCGAUGAAGGCCUGAUAGACAGACUGUUGGAUCAUGUCGGACAUCUUGGCUGAAUCCUCAGCGAUGGUGAUCUAGCGAGGAGUUGAGAAAGGAGCUUUCUUGCCGGUCUCCCCGCUUCUGGUACGACUGAAAGAUUGCAAGCAUGUUUUUUGGUAUUGUUCUAUUUGCUUUGCCAACUCUUCUUUCUGGUCGUCCUUGAGAUUUGCUUCCGUCACUUCGAUGACGUUGUCUUUGGAGAUUUCGGCAGCUUUCGACAUGUUGAAGGUUGAAGUGGCCCCACCGGGCGUGCCAAAAGUGUGUUGGCACUAAAAGUCAGCCGAUUGACCCUCAGCGUCGAACACACGACCUAGGAGAAUUUGCUUAGCUCCUAUUCAGGUGAUCGCUCUGGUGCGGUUCGCGCGGCGUGCCAGCCAAUUUGACCUGUUCAUUGGCAAGGAAGAAAACGUGUCAAAUUCUAAGGGUUCCGAUCGGCUAAGGUUCCGAUCUCAAAAAGCGUAUCAGCGAGUCGGCCGAUUUGCUAUAUAAAGAUAAUCGACUAUGAUACAACCGACAAUCACGUAGCGAUUGCGAAGAAAACUACUAGAGUAAACUAGAAAAAGCUACGAAAGCAACACUUGAAAUAGAUCUAAUCGGCUAUGCGAUAAUGAUGAAUAAAAAGUAACAAAAAUAGAGCUGAUAGUUCAAAUCUCAAGCUAGAUAACUGGUGAUAAAACUAGAACAAUAGAUAAAACCUAUAAUUCUAGUAAAUAUCGAUAACUGGUGAAUAAAUCUAAAUGAAACAACAGCGAUGCGCCCGAAGUUAAAGCUUAGAUAUUAUUCGAUAAACGGAACUUGCAGAAUCGGCCGGAGAUCGUGUCGAUGCAGCCCUACCAACCCGUACGAACUCGUGAAAGAAGAAAAGUAUUGGCGAAGUCGCCGACUUGAAAGUAAAGUACGAUGAAAAAGUAGAUUUGUUUGAUUGAUUGAUGUGUUCUUUACAAAUCUCUGAGGAUGGCUAUUUAUAGCCUGUUACAACCAAUUUCCUAACCAACUAGGAUCUAUCUCUAAUCUUAAACGAAAACGAAUAUUUACAAACACAACUCGUCUCGGAGUUGGUUAUUAUACUCCCGCGGGCUAAUCUUUCUCUAUCUUCUUUCUCUAAUCCACUUUAAGCCCAUAUUGGCCCAAUCGCUUGAACCUUUCAGUCGGCCGAUCUCCACCAACUCCGUCCGCCAAAACACUGUAGCGCCAAUCGGCCGAUACCCAACUGUAGCACCAAUCAGCCGAUUCCCAGUCGUGGCCUUUUAAUCUGCCGCAUCGGCCAAUUCUUUCUUCCCUUGACGCCGAUUUCAUAUGUGUCCAAAUCUGGCGUCAACACACCUACUGCGACCCCACGCUGUGCAGCCAGUCACCAGCCGCACCACCCACCAUGAGUUGCCAGCCACGCCGCACUACCCGCCGCGGCCCCACGCAGUGCCGCCCACACACAAUCUCAAGCUGCGCCACCUUGAAUCCUAGCCGUGCGCGUCAAAGCAAGAUUCAGAGAGGGGGAGUAUGCAGGAGAGAGGGGGAUUGAGGAAGAACAUAGAGGGUACUGGGCAUUUUGUGGAUUAGUCCCUGAAAAUAAUCACCAUUCAUGAAGUAGUUCAAUUUUAGGUAUGCUGUUGGAAAUUUUUUUCCUGAAAAUCUUCAUUCUCCUGUUUGAAGUGUGUUGAGUUAAAAAUAGCAAACGUGCAUUUUACUAUCCAAACAAUUCAUUUUGUCAGUUUGACCCGUACAAAUCGAUUUGCUCUCGUGCCUUCACACUAGUCCACCUCACUCCCUAAUAAAAUUUGUUUUAUUUAUUUCUCCUGGCACGAGUAGUGUUCUAGGUUCAAAUUUCAUGACAUGUUACACGACAUUGUUGAAACCCAUAUGUUCGAAAAAAUAUUUUGAUGCUUUUUUAUUAUUUUUUCAUGCAUUUACAAUUUCAAGGGAUAAAGUAGUAUCAAAUGCGUGCUCCCAACCGAUGUAAAUAACCAUGAAAACUUCUGAAAUAUGCUUAUAACAUAUAUAUUAGAACCCAAAAGACAACUUGCAGGAUGAGAGACAAAAAAGAAGAAGAAGGAAUCCCAUUAGAGGUGAAUUGGAUCAAUUUAAUUGUUUUGGGACUACAUUGAGUCAAUACUUUGUGGAUGAGUCAAAUGGAUAAAGUGAUUAGGGAUGUAAAAUUUGAAAACAGUCAAUGGUUUGGACUUAAUUAUUUGUCGUCUAAUGUGGCAUUUUAAUGGAGUAUGCUGAAAGAACCUGGUGUCACCAGUGAUUCUUGAAGUAAACGGACGAUGUGUUGCCGCGCUGUCGGUAAUGAAGUUUGUUGCUAUUGAUGAAAUCAGGAGCUGAGACUUGAGACCGAAUUCGAGUAUAUAUUUAACUGACCAAUGUGAACCAAGCAUUGUUGUUGUUUUUGUCUCACAUUCUUAUUGUUCCAUAGCCGGGAUGAUUCAUUAAAGGGCCAACAUCUUGCAGAAGAAAGACCAGUGCCAUACUGAAAUCGGUGCCAUGCCAAGCGAAAAAGAUCAAGCAGAUCCAAGCCGUAUAGCUCAUCGUGGCUUUCUCUUAAUGAAUGUCCAUAGGUAUACAACCUCGAAUAAGAUGAUACUCCCUCCUAUCAGAAGCAUAAGUCCAACCUUUUAAUUUUAACUACAUAUAUCUAAAAUUUAUAUAAAUCAACAAUACAAGGUUAGUAUUACUUAGAUUGGAUAGAAAUAUAUUUUCAUGAUGUAUAAAUUUUCAAUUUAAAAUAAUAUGUUUUAAUAGAUAUGGUUAGUUAAAGUACCAUAUUGGAGACCGAGUCGAUGUUCUAAUGGACUUAUUUUUUAUUUUUUGAAACACAGUAACGUACGCAAACUCAACCCUACGAAUACACACGACUCACAUAAAUGCACUUAUGUUUCUGAUAAGAAGAAAAUACGUACUAUGUUGAUGAAUUUCAAUGGCAAAAUGCCACAAACACUUAAUCACUUCAUUCCGCAUUAAGAAGGUAUACGAGUUUAUUACAAUUAUUUAUGUUGAUUACUAGUAUUAUGCUACUAUUAUUUACAUUUGAUACGCCCUUAUAGAUACAUAGUUAAUUUUAUUGAAAGAGACAAGCACAGUUCUAGUUGAACCUAUGACCCUUUUUUCUAGAAACAAACCAAAUCAAAUGUCGUACAUAGAUGACCAAUCCGGCAUAGUUAGACACAAGAUGAACAAUAUGUCAGAUAGAUUGCAAACUAAGUAUUGCAACAGCCAAUGGAACACCCAAUUUAGCGACAGUCACACUUCAGAAGAUAGAUGCACAAGAUGAACUAUAUAAACAGUCGAUAGGACCCAGCUUCAGCCUUCAGGUCAUAAAUUACCAAAUACAAUUGUGCCCACCACAUAUAUAAUACUCCCUCCAUCCCAAAUUAUAGGUCAUUUUGAUUUUUUUAGAUUCAUAAAUUUUAUUAUGCACUUAGAUAUGCCCAAUAUCUAGAUGCAUAAUAAUAUCUAUGAAUCAAGAAAAACCAAAACGACUUAUAAUUUGGGAUUUGAGGGGGGCGGGAGGGGGGGAGGUGGGGGGAAGAUAAGAACUCCAUAUGAAGUCCUUGGCACCACGAUGGCCACCAUUUCUCAGGAACUAAGGAUAGCAUACUAAUACUUCUCUUAUCAGGGUAGUACACCUUAUAAAGACCCUUGGCUGAACGUUAAAUGGUUGCAUUGGGAUGAUGAAGCCAACCCCAUCAGAGAAGAAACAAAAGCAGCAGCAAUAACACCAGACACGGGGUGAUCGGGCAGACGAACAUGAUCAUCCCACUGCUUCCAACGCAGGGACCUCUUGCUGCAAAACCUGCAGGGGAAGCAGGGGAUUUUGCCAUUCUCAUAUUGGAAGAAGCGGUAUAAUACAUGAUGAACCCUAUGAUUGCAAUCUGCUCAUAAUGCGCUUACUGUUCCAUCUUCCUAGGGGCCUAAUGUCUGUGGAUUAAUGGCUCAGAGGGGACAACUAGUAGUGUAAUUGGAAGGUCAUAGAUGAGAUAAAGUAUCUGCUCAUCAUCUCGUUUAUCUUGGAAUAGAUCUAACCAACAAAACCUGAAACUUUACCUUUAUGGUUUAUAACUUUAUAUAUAUACACUACAAAGAAUGAGUAGAAUGGAAAAUGUUUCUCACUCAGAUUAGGCCCACAGUACCUCUCAUGUAGGUUUCUCACGUUGAUUAGGCCCAGGAGGCGGAGCUGUGGAGGGAAUGCAGAUCAAAAAAAUCGUGAGUUAGAAAAUGUUUAUAUUGAAAACUGAUUUUUUUUCUCUCACCUGUGUUUCCCUUACCCGCCUGCUGUACCCAUUCAUACCCACGUGCCCGUGCCUCGUCUCCGGCUAGGCCUCCCAUGCCGUUGAUCCACAGUCACGGGAGGAGGCAAAUCCCAUGGCGGUAGCGAAAACACUCACACAAUCAAUACUACAUAUAUAGAAUGAAAAUGUUUAUGUUUUCAUGCCCGGAUCUCCAUGACAUUGUAGGUGUCUUCUUUAACUCUCCAUCCCACCGACACAAGCAUUAACUAGAAGACAGUGUUAGUGCCUUGAAUAAGACGAAUGGUCAAACAUCAUGACUAAAAGUUAACAACGACAAAUAUUUUGAUACGUAGGUAGUACUUUUUUAUAUAUGCUAAAUCUCUCCAAUGCUAAGUAAUACAUUACCUCUGUUUUUUGAACAGCUAUACAUUGCCUGCGUGACUCUUUUUAUGUGGUACGGAGGUGUUUAAUAUAUACUUUAUAAAUAGUCACUGCCAUCAGAUGUUAGUUUUAUCUGCUUGUGUGUCUUUGAUCACUAGCUCAUACCUACUACUAGCGGAUACCUUUAUAAUUUUGAUUGCAUAAUGUUUUCGUGAUUCAUCAUGGUUAUUCUUUGGUUCCCACUUGUACCUGCAGAAUUGUUCUUUCAAGAGAUAUGUUUGAAUUUAGAAUUAUAUACAGAUUUUUUAUCAGAUUUGCUCCUUGUCAACCGGUUGAAAUGUUGAUUAUCAAUCGACGCUAUCAACAGAAGGACGCGGGCCUAGAACAUCAAUACAGAGACGUUGGAUUUGAUUGAUAGAAAAGCAAAAUAUCAAUAAGUUGACAAGGAGACAGAUUCUUUUUUUAUACCAUUAUCUGUUCUGGAGAUUAUCGCUAAAACCCUCGAUUAUUUAUAUAAUUUCCUGGUUAUUAUUGCGACGGAACAUCAAUUUAGCGACCGCCACACUUCACAAGCUAUAGGCACAACGUGAAAUUAACCAUGGAACACGGCAGAUGACAAGACACAAACUUCAGGUACCAAACAUUUAGUAGGGCACGUGAUGAACUAUAUAACUAUAUAGCAGAUAGGAUACCCAGCUUCAUGUUACAAACUGCCACAUACAAGUGAGCCAGCCAUAUAGAUACAUCAUAUACAUAUAAUAGAUUAUAAUAAGAACUCCAUACAAGUCCAUUGCACCUGCAUGAUGUGGAUUGGGAUUUCAUUUUUUGAAUUUUUUCAGUCCCUUCGAAAAAACCAAAUUUCGACAAAUUUUGACCGAAAUUUGGAUAAAAAAGUGUAUGUUUCGGUGAAGGGAGUGAAAUUUCCGGCAUAUAGUAAUUUCGGCCGAAAUUUUAAACACUGGUCAGGAUAGGGAAACUACUUCUUAUCAGGGUAGUAGCAUCUAUAAAGGUCCCUGGCUGAACGGUAAAUGGUUGGAAGGGUGAAAGCCAACCCCACCAGCAAAGGAACGAAAGCAGCGGCAACAACUGCAGACACCGGGUGGUCGGGCGGAGGCACGUAAUCAUGCCCCCGCCGCCAAUGCAGGGACCUCUUGCUGGAAAACCUGCAGGGGAAGCAGAGGGUUUCGUCACUUCCAUUAUUGGAAAAAGCAGAAUAGUGCAUGGUGAACUGUUUGAUUGCAAUAUGGUCGUAAGGGGUGUUUGGGAGGAGGGGGCUAAACUUUAGCCCUGUCACAUCGGAUGUUUGGAUACUAAUUAGAAGGACUAAACAUAAGCUAAUUACAAAACUAAUUGCAGAACCCCUAGGCUAAAUCGCGAGACGAAUCUAUUAAACCUAAUUAAUCCAUCAUUAGUGAAUGGUUACUGUAGCACCACAUUAUCAAAUCAUGGACUAAUUAGGCUUAAUAGAUUCAUCUCGCGAUUUAGCCUAGGGGUUGUGUAAUUAGUUUUGUAAUUAGUCUAGGUUUAAUACUCCUAAUUAGUGUCCAAACAUUCGAUGUGACGGGGGCUAAAAUUUAACCCCCUCCUCCCAAACACCCCCUAAAUCGUAAUGCGCUUACUAUUCCAUCUUCCCAACAGGGGCCUUGAUCGAUGAUCGUCCCACCUCCUUGAGAUGAAAGCACAUGAUUUCGCCACUGGCCCUACAACACACAUGAUCGUGAAUGAGACUAUAUAAUGAGCAGCGUAGAGCCAUAGACGACAACCAGCUGAGAUUAACUAACUCGGAUAAAAAAUGCCCUUACUGUGUGCAUCAGACGGCCUACACCCAUAGCCUGGGUGGCCGCAGAUCAGAUGGUCUCGGCGGUGGAAGCAUACACUCGUGCGGCACGCGGCGGCCGGCCUCCGAAAACAGCCCGGAAGACAAGCCGGAGCGCCCACCGCGGAGCACCUUCGCCAACAUCGCCGCCGCCACCGCCAUCACCUUCUCCUCGCGUGUCCUGUUCCCCUCUCUCUCUCUCUCGAUCUUUUCUCUCUCAACAGAUCGAUAUAUGUAUCCGGGAGGGACGAGGGAGAGAGGGCUUACCGACUACGAUCGCCCCGCGCAAAGAAGGUGAAGGACCGAAAGGGCGAUCAGGGAGGGUGAAUAAGAGUCUAUAACAAUUAUCAACGAGAACAAAGCCUAUGUCCCAAACGCAACCCCAAAGCACACUGCGCGUUGUAUGGUCAAAUAAUGUAAGUGAACUCAUGAUAAGCUCACCCUAGGAACGAUAAGAGAACGCUCAAAUCACAGUGAAAACAUAGCAUGAAUCGACUCUAUCAAAUUUGCACAUAUGAGACAAAGCAAAGAUACUAUUAACCACUUACUAAACUAGGCAUGGAAGGACUAGCAAUAAACUAGGCAUGAUUAGUAAGACAAAAUACUAAACAAGGUGUUAAAGAUUAAUUAGCAAAGUGCAAGAACUUAGUCAGUAACAUAUUAACAUGAUUAGUAAGUGACAGUUCUAAUUAAGAAGCUAAACGAAAGAACAGAGACUAACAAGCCAAGUUCCAAGAAUUAACCGUUCGCUACUUCGCUGUCAGCCUGCUGGCUUGCAACCUGUGCCAGGCCCGAUGGCCUCCCCCGCUUUGCUCCUGUUGGGCCGGUUGGCCUGGCUGCUGGGCCUCUAGCGCUGCUGCCUGGGCCGCCAGGCUUGUCUGGCCCGCGAGGCAAGCAGCUGGCCUCCCACUCCUGGGCCUGCAACCUGGUGAAGCACUCGCCUGGUGUAGCUGGGCCGCGACUUACCAAGCCAGCCUGCUGCUCCUACACGUGCUGGCCUGAUCCGCUUGCUGCUUCCGUGUCACCUGCGCACACGAACAGGAAAGGAACGAAAAACAGAAACAACGCACACAAGAACAGCAAAGAACAAAGAACACGCUCCACUUCGAAUCACAAGAACUCAUUCGAUACUCCGCGGAUCAAGAUAAAACUUGAGGCAAGGAUGUAAUACCACUAGAGCAAAUAGAUCCAUGAGACAAAUCUCAAAAAGCAUUCAUCGUAAAUUUUGGAGAAAACCGAAACUCUAACUCAGGAACACGAUUCAGGGAAAAACUCAAAAUCGAGCUGGAUUCGUGAGGGAUUUGGAGAGGAUCACAAUAAGAAUGCUCCCUAAGGUCCUAGUAACAUCUCUCUUCAACCCACCUUACGAGAUUCGGGCUCAAACAUGAUGAAUACAAAAUCUCAAAAAAUAACUUCAAAAAUGACGAAAAAGAAAAACGUUCGGGAAUCAAAGAUUUAGCACGAUUUGAGACAACAAACAAACCUGAAUUACGAGAACAUCUUCUAUAUAAGAUGAGGACUAGCCUCCUCCCUUCGUCCACCCAUUAAUGAUGAAGAAAUCAAGAGAUAAAGAGUAAUUACCUCUCAUCUCCCUCUCUCCUGUCACUGAGCACAUGACUAGCCUUUAAGCAAGAUGAUAAUAAGUUGAUAAAACAAGAGAGGUGCUGAAAUAACUAGCUCCCCAUCCCUAUAUAUAGUUCGGGAUGAAUGACCAUAGUACCCCUAACAUUAAAACUAGGAUAACUACCCACGCAGGGGUAUUUUAGUCCAAGUUUUUAUCCGCGCAUUGGACGGACACGCUGCCUUCACGACUUUACUUCACCUCGACGCAAGCUUCGCGAUGACGCCACAUGCCCUCCUUCUCGAAGCUCCGGCCGCACCGGGCUCGCCCUCAAUUUUGAGGUACAAACAGGGAAACCUGCCUGCGCGGUGGUUUUAAGGCCCAAACCACCCCAAAACGUCCAUCUUCACUUAGCCGCCACGCGACCUCCUCGAUGUUGACGCGUGUCCAGCCUCUAUCAAGCCUCCUGCUCGACUCGACCAACACCGUCUCCAUCCCGUCAUGUCCUCCCGCCGUUCCGUGCACCAUGUGAACCGCCUAUGACUUCGCCCGGACUCCUCGGGUCCAUCAAUCCAAGCCUACUCGCAUUCAUCAUUCACCGCCCUUGGUCCAUCGGUACGAACCUUUUUUUUUGUAGCACCUGGCAUGGUAACCUAUUUUAUCCCGGUUGAGUGACCCGGGACAAAAGACCCCCCCUUUUGUCCUGGUUGGUUUAUCCCGGAUGGAUUUUCGGGAGAUUUGCAUCCUACCAACCGGGACUAAUACCGAGUUCUCUACUAGUGCUGCAACACACAUGAUCGCGAAUGAGAGUAUAUAAUGAGCAGCAUAGAGCCAUAGACGACAACCAGCUGAGAUUUACUAACUCGGAUAAAAAAUGCCCUUACCGUGUGCAUCAGACGGCCUAUACCCAUAGCCUGGGUGGCCACAGAUCAGAUGGUCUAGGCGGUGGAAGCAUACCCUCGUGCGGUACGCUGCGGCCGACCUCCGGAAACAGCCCGGAAGACAAGCCGGAGCGCUCGCCGCAGAGCACCUUCGCCAACGUCGUCGCCGCCGCCGCCAUCACCUUCUCCUCGCGUGUCCUGUUCCCCUCGCUCUCUCUUGAUCUUUUCUCUCUCAACAGAUCGAUAUAUGUAUCCGGGAGGGACGAGGGAGGGAGGGCUUACCGACUACGAUCGACCCGUGCAAAGAAGGCAGGCAAGAUGUUUCCGUCUCGGCCUCUACCUUGUAUCUAGCCCGGGCUGAAGUUCUACGACGCCUAUGUUCAUCACAAACAUGUGAAGAAGAAGAAGACAUGAGAGGAUAAGACAUCAGAAUCUCUAAAAGAUUUAUAACUCGGACAAAACAAGAUGAUGACCGUACCGUGUGCAUCAGACGGCCUAUAUGGCUAUACCCACAGCGGGGGUAGCCAAAUUCAUCAGCCAAAAUCAGACGCCUAUGUUCAUCAGGCAAAACGUGUGCAUCAGACGCCUAUGUUCAUCAGGCAGGAUCGUUGUAUUAUGUCGAACACGCGCAUGGAUGUGUAUGUGCACACGACAGAAAUCAGACCACCCCAUAAGCAUUCACAUUCCAAUCAAAGUACCUCAUGCACACAUAUAUUAACUUUAAUUUUGUUUUAUAGAAGAGAGAGGAGAGGGUAUUUAAACCCAUGAUUGUUGAGGCUUUCUUUAAUUUUAAGGAUCAUUUUAUGGCCGCAUUUGUGUUAAAAUAAUUUAACUUGCACAUCCAAGGACGUUAGUUAUUUCCAUCACUACCGAAAACAGUAAGUUUGCCGAGUGCCCCAGGCACUCGGCGAAGGUCCAAAAACACUCGGCAAACCAGACUCGGCGAACUUUUCCUCGGCAAACAGUGGUUGUCGAGUGUCAAACGUCGGGCACUCGGUAAAGGCUUUGCCGAGUGUCAAAAAAUACUCGCAACAAUUUUAGAAAAAAAUAAAAAAAAUGCAGUCGCUGGUCGCCACCGCCGGCCACUGCCACCGCCGCCGUCACUAGCCCAAGCCCUCCCUGGAUCUCGCCGCCAUCUCCCUCCACCUGGCCCGCACCGCCAUCUCCCUCCACCUGGCCCGCACCGCCAUCUCCCUCCCCCUCCAUGGAUCUCGCCGCGCCACCACCGUCUCCCUCCCCUGACCCGCGCUACAUGAUUGUUGAGGCUUUCUUUAAUUUUAAGGAUCAUUUUAUGGCCGCAUUUGUGUUAAAAUAAUUUAACUUGCACAUCCAAGACGUUAGUUAUUACCAUUUGAGAUAUUAGCACGCAUAUAUACAAGACCAAUGCUACCAAGUAGGGCGCACGAUGAACCAUAAAAGUCCAGAACAGACAGGAUGCGAUCUCCAAGUACCAACAAGCUAGGGACACGAUGUACAUUGCAGAUAGGAUACACGACUUCAGAUAGGAUACCCAACUUCAGGUUACAGAACGGCUUCUCUGCUUGAGAAUUGCUAUGAGGCUCUUUGAAGAUCCAGGUAGACAAAGGAUUCGUCAUGCCAUGGCUUAACGGUAGCCACACUUCAUAACUAGCUAGUCCAUAUCUGAGCGAGCAAGUUGAAAACAGUUCCUACCUAGAGUCACAUUCCUAGAGGACCCACCUGCCAAGUCAGGGGAGUCACGAAAAUAUGUGAUGAAGGACGGGAGGAUGAGUGAAAAGGUCUCUAGCCUAGUGGUUAGAGCAUAUAAGUAGUAUUUAAUAGGUCUAGAAUUGACUCCUGAAUUAAACGGGUCUAGUAUAAAAACAAUAGGCAGGGGUUUCCUAUGCCGAUUUCGAAAAAAAAAAGGGUCGGGAGGAUGAAAAAAUCGAUGAGGGAAACGUUUCUGCCGAAAUCGCAUGUUAUUUUUUCACCUCCUACCCUCAUGCCAACGAAGCCAGCAGGGAGCGUGAUGCAGUGAAGAUACCGCCACACAUGAGGCAGAUGAAGGGAGCGUGACGAGGCAGAUGCAGCAGGCGGUGCCCCUCCGUCUUUUCAAUCGGAUGAGGCACGGGUGGACGCAGUUGCAUCACCCGGAAGAGGCGGAAGCGGUGGUGGCGGCCCAUAGUCCAUGGCUCCCUUCCCCUUCUCCUAUCACCUGAGCAAGCAGCUAAUUAAACCUUGCCGAGCAAUUACCACACAUGGCUGCCGGCGAGACGACGACACCGCCGUUCAGUUCCGUGCACGUGAACAGGCGCCUGGCCACCGCCAACCGCCUCAUGGCGGCCGUCCACGCAGCGCUCGCCGCCGCGGCCAUCGCCCACCGCGCCCUGCACCUGCAUCAGCUCAGCGGCGGCGUGGCCCGCAACGCCGCCAUGGUCGCGGCGGACCUGACGCUCCUGUUCCUGUGGACGCUGUCGCAGUCGGGCCUGUGGCGGCCCGUCUCGCGCGCCGCGUUCCCGGACCGGCUGCUGGAGUCCCGGCGGCGCGGGGACCUCCCGGCCGUGGACGUGCUGGUGGUGACGGCGGACCCGGACAAGGAGCCGGCGUUGGGGGUGAUGAACACGGUGGUGUCGGCCAUGGCGCUGGAUUACCACGGCGGGAGGCUGAGCGUGUACCUGUCGGACGAUGCCGGGUCGCCGCUGACGCUGAUGGCCGCCCGCAAGGCCUACGCCUUCGCCAGGGCGUGGGUGCCCUUCUGCAGGAGGUACUCGGUGCAGUGCCCGUGGCCCGACAGGUACUUCGCCGGCGACGACGGCCAGGAUGACGGCGGCGAUCGCUGCGGUGAGGCCGCCGAGGAGAGGCGAAGAAUGAAGGUAUCUGUGUAACGAUGAUGGAGCUAGCGUCAACAAUGUCUUUUGUACGUAUAACUUAAUUUCUGUGCAGAAAAUGUACGAGACGUUCAAAGGGGACAUAGAGGAGGCCAGUAAGGAGAAGAGUAUUUCCAGGAGCUGGACGAAAGAAAAACGUCAGGAUCACGAUGCUUAUGUCGAGGUAAAUCCAAUUCAAUCAAAGCAAUUCCUGAUCAUCAGUUGAGUUGAAUUAACUAGCAGCUUCAUCUAUAUAUGUAAAUCUGUAUCUUGCAUGCAACCAAUUCAAUUCGCAGAUCAUCACCGCGGGCGAGGAGGAGGACGACGACCAACAGGGCGAGGAAACCAUGCCGUUGCUGGUGUACGUGUCCCGCGAGAAGCGGAGGGCGUCCCCUCACCACUUCAAGGCCGGCGCUCUCAACGCCCUGGUGCGCUGUCAUCUGCUUGUAUCAAUCCUUAAUUCCUUGUUGGUUAUAAUAAUAAUCCGCUCUCAACCACUACUGAAAAACUGAGCAUUGAUCCUAACCCUUAUACCAGUUAGUUUUUGAUCCAGUACUAUACGAGUAUCAGUACCGGAUCUAACGCGGAUACAACGACAAUGAUACGAUCUGCUUGCAGCUGCGGGUGUCGAGCCUUGUGAGCAACGCGCCCUACUUGCUGGUGCUCGACUGCGACAUGUCCUGCAACAGCCGCUCCUCCGCCCUGGAGGCCAUGUGCUUCCAUCUCGACCGAUCCCCGCCGGCGCCGGAGAGCCUCGCCUUCGUGCAGUUCCCGCAGAUGUUCCACAACCUCAGCCCCAACGACAUCUACACCAAUGAUCUCCGAUACAUCUUCGCGGUAAUGUAUCAGACUCACUCGUAUGUUGAGUUGUUGACAUGGCCAGCUCUCAGCUGACAAGCGAUGAUCAAUUGCAUGCGUCCGGCAGACUCGAUGGAUCGGCCAGGACGGCCUCCGGGGCCCGCUCCUCGCCGGCACCGGCUUCUACGUCAGGAGGGACGCACUGUACGGGGCCAUGCCGUCCGCCGCCACCUCGUUGCCGGCGCACGGUGCAGAGUUCUCGUCCAUGGAGACCGGCGAGCUGGUGAGGAGGUUCGGCCACUCCGACGACCUCAUAUCCUCCGUGCGCAACCUCCACCUGCAGAAACCACCUGCUGCUGGUCGCCAUCGUCGUCGUCUUCCUCGAGACGCGGCGCUGGUGGCCUCCUGCGCGUACGAGACCGGCACCGGGUGGGGCGACGAGGUGGGGUUCAUGUACCAGUCGGUGGUGGAGGACUACUUCACCGG